ACAGAUCAGAAAUCGGUAGAAAAAUAGAAAAAUAGAACUAUCCAAUUUUUGCACAAAAAAUCACAACUACAAACUCGAUUUUCCGUCAAUCUAGAAGUCCAUUUGAGACGUGCAGGUGGAGGCGGCGCUGGAUGUGCAGCACGUGUUCCCAGCGACGGCGCGUAAGGGCCCAUGGCGUCGAUUUUGGGAAAGUUGUCUUCAAGUAGUUUGUUCC
rnacentral:lncRNA from 1 species